AAAAGAUGACAGGGCACACAUCACGUCGGAACCCUGGUCCCCAGGCAGUUGGUUCUGAACCAAACCUGACCCAGCUCACCUGCCUGGUGGGCCUGGACCCGGCACCAUAUUUUGUUGCUGUUUGCCCAGGUCUCCCUGCAGUGGACCCAAAAAAUUUCCCUGAAACUCGUGUCGCACUCUGCUGAAAGGCAUGAGGAGCCUGUGUCGACGUCUCUGGCCAGCACCAGCACUGCCCCUGAGGAAACUAGGGGGGCCCUCGGGACAGAGGGUGUUCUGUGUCCAGGAAGGUGAAGAGAUCCAGAGAGUGCAUUUCCCCGACUGUCCUUCCACAGCCCAGCGUGGGAUCUGUCCCAGCACAGAGCCCAGGUUGAAGUGUACCCGCAAUUUGAGAUUGGGUCACAUGUCCAAAGGAACUGGCUGGAGUACACAAAGCCCCUGGAGGAGCUGUCCGAGGCCCCUUCUCAAGGAGCACAGCCAGGCUUCCCUGCUGCCCAUGGGACAGGCCAGGAGACCAGCCAAGUUGCUGACUGGAGACAAGCAGACACUAGGGGUCCUGAAGGGACAGGAGAAGCCGCUCCUGCAUAUGCUGUUCCAGAGCAACAGGAGAGCCCAGCAGGCCUGCUGGGUCAGACAGACAAUGCCCAGGAUGCUGUAGGCGUCCUGGGCAUUCUGAGCUCACUAAACCCCUGAAUAGUCAGCCUGAAACUCCCCAGAUUCCAGCAGGAUGUCCCCAGGCUGCUGAGCUAAUACCAGCCCUGCUGGGGAAACCAGGCCAGGACCUUAAACUGUGGGACAACCUGCUGGGCACAAGCGAACACCACCUGUUUGCGGGGAGCCAGGCCCUAGCCAGGCCCCAGCAGGGCAGCUGGCAGUGGUGUGUUUACACCAGCCCCACUGUGGGAGACAGGUAUAGGCCAGGAUGCCUCAGGAGCUGCCCAGUGUGGGCAGUUCACACCCGCCCUUUCUGGGGAAGCCAAGACUGGUGCAGGAUCCCGAAGACUUCUUUGAGGAUUCUGA